GACGAACGCUGGCGGCGUGCUUAACACAUGCAAGUCGAACGAAGUGGCGAACGGGUGAGUAACGCGUCAUCAACCUGCCCUUCAGAGGGGGACAACAGUUGGAAACGACUGCUAAUACCGCAUACUGAAGGCGGGGAUUGCGUCUGAUUAGCUAGUUGGAGGGGUAACGGCCCACCAAGGCGAUGAUCAGUAGCCGGUAUGAGAGGAUGAACGGCAACAUGGGGACGGAGAAACGGCCCAGACUCCGACGGGAGGCAGCAGUGGGGAAGCUUCCGCAAUGGAGGAAAGUCUGACGAAGCAACGCCGCGGGAGUGAGGACGGCCUGCGGGUUGUAAAGCUCUGUUAAUCGGGACGCGGUACCGGAAUAGAAAGCCACGGCUAACUACGUGCCAGCAGCCGCGGUAAUAC
rnacentral:rRNA from 1 species